rnacentral:rRNA from 1 species
CUACGGGACGCUCCAGUGGGGAAUAUUGCACAAUGGGCGCAAGCCUGAUGCAGCCAUGCCGCGUGUAUGAAGAAGGCCUUCGGGUUGUAAAGUACUUUCAGCGGGGAGGAAGGGAGUAAAGUUAAUACCUUUGCUCAUUGACGUUACCCGCAGAAGAAGCGCCGGCUAACUCCGUGCCAGCAGCCGCGGUAAUACGGAGGGUGCAAGGGUUAAUCGGAAUUACUGGGCGUAAAGCGCACGCAGGCGGUUUGUUAAGUCAGAUGUGAAAUCCCCGGGCUCAACCUGGGAACUGCAUCUGAUACUGGCAAGCUUGAGUCUCGUAGAGGGGGGUAGAAUUCCAGGUGUAGCGGUGAAAUGCGUAGAGAUCUGGAGGAAUACCGGUGGCGAAGGCGGCCCCCUAGACGAAGACUGACGCUCAGGUGCGAAAGCGUGGGGAGCAAACAGGAUUAGAUACCCUUGUAGUC